AUGAGGAACUUGCACACUCUCGCAAAGAAGAAGCAUGUUGUGAGCAUCGAAGGCGUCAAGUUCAAGAAGGAUCAUUUGUGUGGCGCCUGCGAAGCUGGAAAGAUGACAAGAGCCAAGCAUCCCUCGAAGACUAUCAUGACCACGUCUCAACCCUUCGAGCUGCUCCACAUGGACUUAUUUGGCCCUACUCACUAUUCUACUCUCAAUGCUACUGCCUGCCUCUAUGGCUUUGUCAUUGUUGAUGAUUACUCUCAAUACACUUGGGUGCAUAUAAUCCUCUACAAGACUGAAGUGCAGGAUGUCUUCAGACGUUUUGCCAACCGUGCCAUGACGAACUACGGUGUCAAGAUCAAGCACAUCAGAAGCGACAACGGCACUGAGUUCAAGAACACCGGUCUCGACCUCUACCUGGAUACCAUGGGUAUCACUCAUGAGUUCUUUGCUCCAUACACACCUCAGCAGAAUGGCAUCACCGAGUGGAAGAAUAGAACUCUUAUUGAGAUGGCUCGAACGAUGCUUGAUGAGUACAAGACUCCGCAAAAGUUCUGGCCUAAAGCCAUUGACACUGCUUGUCACAUCAUCAACCGCGUUUAUCUUCACAAGCUUCUGAAGAAAACAUCCUAUGAGCUCCUGACUGGUAAGAAACCCAAUGUAAGCUACUUCGGAGUAUUUGGUGCUAGGUGCUGGAUCAAGGAUCCUCAUCACACUUCAAAAAUUGCACCGGAAGCACAUGAAGGUUUUAUGCUUGGUUAUGGAAAGGACUCGCACUCCUACAGAGUUUUCAACCUCUUUCACUAUAAAGUGGUUGCAACUGUGGAUGUGCGGUUCGAUGAAACUAACGGCUCGCAAAGAGAGCACCUGCCAAAUGUGCUAGAUGAGUUAUCCCCAAGUGAGUCAAUCAAGCAAAUGGGAACUGGCGAAAUCAUACCCACUGAGAGUCUGUCUGAAGAGGAACUUGUCAUUUCUGCACCUGAUCAACCCGAAGACAAUGCUCAGCCCAAAGACAAUUCCCAAAACGAUGACAAUGAUCAGAAAGAGCAAAAUCUUCGUCCUGCUCAUCCUCGUGUUGUAAAUGAAGUACAGAUUGAGAAGAUGAUUGAUAGCCUCAAUGCACCUGGUCCACUCACUCGUUCAAGAGCCACACAAAGAGCAACACAACUCACCAAUUUUUGUGGACACUUUGCAUUCGUCUCAAUCUCAGAACCCACAAAAGUGACUGAAGCCUUCAUGGAACCUGAAUGGAUUCAAGCCAUGCAAGAAGAGCUUCAACAAUUUGAGUUGAACAAUGUGUGGGAACUGGUCAAGCGUCCUGAUCCUCGGAAGCACAAUAUCAUUGGCACCAAAUGGAUAUAUCGCAACAAGCAAGAUGAACAUGGUCAAGUGGUCAGAAACAAAGCUCGUCUAGUUGCUCAAGGCUACACUCAAGUGGAAGGGAUUGGCUUUGAUGAAACUUUUGCUCCUGUGGCAAGGCUUGAAGCUAUUCGCAUACUGCUUGCCUAUGCAAAUCAUCACAACAUUUUCCUAUAUCAAAUGGAUGUGAAGAGUGCUUUUCUCAAUGGAAAGAUAGAAGAAGAAGUAUAUGUUGCACAACCUCCUGGCUUUGAAGAUCCAAAACAUCCUGAUAUGGUGUACAAGCUCAACAAGGCACUGUAUGGCCUCAAACAAGCCCCUCGUGCUUGGUAUGAUACGCUCAAGGACUUCCUGAAGAGCAAAGGCUUCAAAUCGGGUUCUCUAGAUCCCACUCUCUUCACGAAGACAUAUGAUGGUGAACUGUUUGUGUGCCAAAUAUAUGUGGAUGACAUUAUCUUCGGCUGCACCAACAAGAAAUACAGUGAUGAGUUUGGUCAUAUGAUGCAAGAGCAAUAUCAGAUGUCCAUGAUGGGAGAGCUGAAGUCCUUUCUCGGUCUUCAAAUCCGUCAGCAAUGCAACGACAUCUUCAUAUCUCAAGAAAAAUAUCUCAAAGAUUGCCUGAAGAAGUUUGGAAUGCAAGACUGCAAAGGAUACACGACGCCAAUGCCAACCAAAAGUCAUCUGGGUCCCGACGACAAUGGUAAGGUAUUCGACCAAAAGGUAUACUGCUCCAUGAUUGGUUCUUUGUUUUAUUUAUGUGCAUCUAGGCCAGAUAUCAUGCUUAGUGUUUGCAUGUGUGCCCGAUUCCAAGCGGCACCAAAGGAAUCGCAUCACUUAGCUGUGAAGCGAAUACUUCGAUAUUUGGCUUACACCCCAACACUAGGAUUAUGGUAUCCAAAGGGCUCAGAGUUUGAUCUAGUUGGAUUCUCAGAUGCUGAUUAUGCUGGUGACAAGGUUGAUCACAAGUCCACAUCAGGCACACGUCACUUUCUGGGACGAUCACUUGUCUGUUGGUCUUCAAAGAAGCAGAACUGUGUAUCUCUCUCCACUGCUGAAUCCGAAUACAUUGCUGCUGGAUCAUGCUGUGCUCAGCUUCUCUGGAUGAAGAAAACUCCCAAGGACUAUGGUAUACAUCUGAAGAAUGUGCCUCUCUACUGCGACAAUGAGAGUGCCAUCAAGAUUGCCAAUAAUCCAGUUAAGCACUCGAAGACAAAGCACAUUGAGAUUCGUCAUCACUUCCUCAGGGAUCAUGUUAUGAAGGAAGAUAUUGAUAUCAUUCACGUCAACACUGAAGAGCAAUUGGCUGAUAUCUUCACAAAGCCCUUGGAUGAGAAAAGGUUUUGCAAGUUGUGGUGUGAGCUAAAUAUCUUGGAAUCCUCAAAUGUCCUGUGA
rnacentral:rRNA from 1 species